GAAGAUGUUUGUAGGAGGCCUCAGCUGGGACACGACUAAGAAGGACCUGAAAGAUUACUUUUCCAAGUACGGAGAGGUUGUAGACUGCACAUUAAAACUGGACCCCAUGACUGGCCGUUCGAGGGGUUUCGGCUUUGUGCUCUUCAAAGAACCAGAAAGUGUCGACAAGGUGGCCUCACAGAAGGAACAUAAACUCAACGGAAAGGUCAUUGACCCCAAAAAAGCCAAGGCCAUGAAGAGCAAGGAGCCCGUAAAGAAGAUCUUUGUUGGAGGUCUCUCUCCAGACACUCCUGAAGAGAAAGUCAGAGAGUACUUUGGUGCCUUCGGAGAGGUGGAGUCGAUUGAGCUUCCCAUGGAGAACAAAACAAACAAAAGAAGAGGCUUCUGCUUCAUCACAUUCAAAGAGGAGGAUCCAGUGAAGAGCAUCAUGGAGAAAAAAUACCACAACAUUGGACUAAGCAAGUGUGAAAUAAAAGUGGCGAUGUCCAAGGAACAGUACCAGCAGCAGCAGUACUGGGGAGGCAGAGGUGGAUACUCGUACUCAUCCAGGUCUCGAGGAAGAGGUGGUGGUCCCAAUCAGAAUUGGAACCAGGGUUAUGGCAACUACUGGAAUCAAGGCUAUGGAAAUUAUGGCAAUUAUGGUUACAAUAAUCAAGGAUAUGGGGGAUAUGGUGGCUAUGAUUACCCUGGUUACAACAACUAUUAUGGAUAUGGUGACUACAACGAUCAAUCUGGUGGAUAUGGCAAGUCGCCACGGCGUGGUGGUCACACCAACAGUUACAAGCCGUAUUAAUGGGGGAAACCCUCAUCUUCAAGUAGCGGAGCUUCCUUGCAGGCCAUGAGCUGACUCCCAGAUACUCUCAGGGCCCGCUCAAUGCGGACCGGGUACGAGAAGCAUACGCUCUCGAAUGCUGCCAUUUGGUUUCAGCGGUCGGAGCUGGUUGGAGCAUUUGGCCACAGAGAGAUGAUGGUAUCCAGCAAAGAUCACUAGCUGAUUGUAAGAGAAUAAAUGAAGAGCACUAUGACCUACAGCACAUUUCCCCCUCUACAUUUACCGAAGUAUUUGUUGUAUCUUAAAGAGUUUUGGAUUUGGAUGUUUUGCAUUUAUUUUAGAAGACUGCAACGUUUUCGAGCAGUUGGCGUUCCUCAUCCCUUCUUGUUUUUGUAUUUAUUGUUCUUAUAUGCUAUUUGUGAAUUGCUUCGUUUAUUACAUCACUGCAAUGUUAGAUUGGUUGGAACAGAUCACACAUAUAUACAGUACUGUGGUAGCAAAGAUAUAAAAUGCGUUGUUACAUUUUAUCCGCUUAAUAAUAGUCAUUAGUCAUAUAAUAUGUUAUUACAGAGUCAUAAACAUACAGUAUAUAUAUAUAUAUAUAUACAGGUAAUUAUACAUAAAGAAAUGCGACAAAAUAAAAAUUAUAAACACUCA